UUACUGGUCUAGCAAUUCUGCGCCGAAAACUUACGGGACUAAGCAAUUUGCCGAAGCUGUGAGAUAUACAAUUUGUAUAUCGGUAGGGGAGCGUUCCAUUGUAGGUUGAAGUGUUAGCGAAAGCGGAUAUGGACGAAAUGGAAGUGAGAAUGUCGGAUUGAGUAGCGAAAACAUUGGUGAGAAUCCAAUGCUCCGAAACCCUAAGGUUUCCUCCGCAAGGCUCGUCCACGGAGGGUGAGUCAGGUCCUAAGGUGAGGCUGAAAAGCGUAGUUGAUGGAUAAUAGGUUAAUAUUCCUAUACUGAUUAUUACUGGUAUCGAGGGACGAAGAAGGCUAAACUAGCCGGAUAUUGGUUACCGGUUCAAGUAGUUAAGGUGUUGAAGAUUAGAGAAAAUAAUCUGAGCUGAGAUACGAGUACAAGAUUCUUAGAAAUCAAAGUAGUUGAUGUCAUACUUCCAAGAAAAGCUCGCAAUGCCAUAAGUAAUAAUCACCUGUACCUUAAACCGACACAGGUAGGGAGGUAGAAAAUACCAAGGAGCGCGGGAGAACCCUCCUUAAGGAACUCGGCAAAAUAGCCCCGUAACUUCGGGAGAAGGGGUGCCCACGCAAGUGGGUCGCAGUGAAGAGUCCCAGGCGACUGUUUACCAAAAACACAGGUCUCCGCAAAGUCGUAAGACGACGUAUGGGGGCUGACGCCUGCCCAGUGCCGGAAGGUUAAAGAAGUCGGUUAGCGUAAGCGAAGCUGGUAACUGAAGCCCCGGUGAACGGCGGCCGUAACUAUAACGGUCCUAAGGUAGCGAAAUUCCUUGUCGGGUAAGUUCCGACCCGCACGAAUGGCGUAACGAUGGCCACACUGUCUCCUCUCGGGACUCAGCGAAGUUGAAAUGUUUGUGAAGAUGCAAUCUACCCGCGGCUAGACGGAAAGACCCCAUGAACCUUUACUGUAGCUUUACAUUGGACUUUGACAAGAUUUGUGUAGGAUAGGUGGGAGACUAUGAAGCGGCGUCGCUAGAUGUCGUGGAGUCAACCUUGAAAUACCACCCUGAUGUUGUUGAGGUUCUAACCUAGGUCCAUAAUCUGGACUGGGGACCGUGUAUGGUGGGCAGUUUGACUGGGGCGGUCUCCUCCCAAAGCGUAACGGAGGAGUUCGAAGGUACGCUAAUUACGGUCGGACAUCGUGAUGAUAGUGCAAUGGCAUAAGCGUGCUUAACUGCGAGACUGACAAGUCGAGCAGAU
rnacentral:rRNA from 1 species